GAAUGCGUGCCUGGCGAUUGUCACUUGCAGUCGCAACUUUUACAAAGUGGCAGCUGGCCUCCAUGGGGCGGUGCAGACAGGGGACUGUCAUUGCUGGAGCACCUCCUGGCUAUCCACAGGAAAUGGAAAAAACAUGCUGUUUUCACAACGCGGACGACACCGUGUCAAAGGAAGUUAUGGAAA
rnacentral:lncRNA from 1 species